rnacentral:sRNA from 1 species
CAUUAUCAUUCAGUCUCUCAAAAUAGGUCGAUCUGUCGAUCUAUUGAAAAAAAGUAUCGCACUACAAUUAAUAUUCAGUCUCAAUCGUAUUAUAUUAUGAUUGAAA